rnacentral:rRNA from 1 species
AGGGUUCGAUUCUGGCGUCAGAACGAACGCUGGCGGCAGGCCUAAUACAUGCAAGUCGAACGCCUGUAGCAAUACAGGAGUGGCAGACGGGUGAGUAACGCGCGGGAAUCUACCCAUUGGUACGGAACAACCCAGGAAACUCGGGCAAAUACCGUAUAAGCCCUCAGGGGGAAAGAUUUAUCGCCAUUGGAUGAGCCCGCGUCGGAUUAGCUAGUUGGUAGGGUAACGGCCUACCAAGGCGACGAUCCGUAGCUGGUCUGAGAGGAUGAUCAGCCACACUGGGACUGAGACACGGCCCAGACUCCUACGGGAGGCAGCAGUAGGGAAUAUUGGACAAUGGGCGCAAGCCUGAAUCCAGCCAUGCCGCGUGAGUGAUGAAGGCCUUAGGGUUGUAAAGCUCUUUCGGCGGGGACGAUAAUGACGGUACCCGCAGAAGAAGCCCCGGCUAACUUCGUGCCAGCCGCCGC